UGGGGAAUUUUGCACAAUGGGCGAAAGCCUGAUGCAGCAACGCCGCGUGUGUGAUGAAGGUCUUCGGAUCGUAAAGCACUUUCGACCGGGACGAACACCCCUUGGCUAACAUCCAUGGGCCUGACUGUACCGGGAGAAGAAGCACCGGCUAACUCUGUGCCAGCAGCCGCGGUAAUACAGAGGGUGCAAGCGUUGUUCGGAAUUAUUGGGCGUAAAGCGCGUGUAGGCGGCUUUGUAAGUCGGGUGUGAAAGCCCUCAGCUCAACUGAGGAAGUGCGCCCGAAACUGCGAGGCUUGAGUACCGGAGAGGAUGGCGGAAUUCCCGAAGUAGAGGUGAAAUUCGUAGAUAUCGGGAGGAACACCGGUGGCGAAGGCGGCCAUCUGGACGGAUACUGACGCUGAGACGCGAAAGCGUGGGUAGCAAACAG
rnacentral:rRNA from 1 species